rnacentral:lncRNA from 10 species
UUUACCAGCAUAACACUUUGCUGAUAUUUUGUUCAUUUGUCCCUCUAAGUUCAUGAAGGAAAAUGGUCUAUAGUUUUCUUGCAGUGUUUUUUGGUAUUAAUGAGCCUCAGAAAAUGCAGGAAAAUUCCUGUCCCUGGAUAACAAGAGCAACCAUUUCCACAGUGCUUCAGGGAUUCGGUUUUUAGCCACAAAGCCAGGCAUUCAACCCAGCAACCUGAGCUACCACCUUAGCUGAAGAACAGCCACUGUGGAGUUCUUGCUGGCUGCAGCCUGUGUGCUCGCUCACACAUGGGCACAGUUCUGAGAUGAGUAUGCAAUUACCUUCUUUGCUGACAGCUCUGACAGAUAAAGGUCAUCCUCUACCACUUGCCAAAUUCAGGAAUCCCAGAACAACCUGAUUCAGAAGAAUGUGAAAGAGAGAAGGGAGUUUCAAGUCCUACCUACACAGUUCAAAAGCACAAAACCUUACCUGCUGCACUGCAGGAGGCAGAAGUGAGAGGCAAGAAGUAGGUAGGCAUAGAAAGAGAAUCUAGGAGAUGCUUUCCUUCUCUUGCGAAAGCCUGGAGGGGACCCAAAUUCCUUUAUUCUGCUUGGGCUUGGCUUGGCCCUUCUUCUCCCUACCCCCAUCUUUUCAGAAUCACCAGCUGCUGUGGUUUCUCCUUCCCUUUUAUCUUCAAAUUUCCUCCUUCCUGAACUACCAUGUUCCUAUCUUUGUGUUAAAGAUUCAUCAGAUGCUAAAGUCCACAGCUGCUAAAAAACAAAUAAACACAGCACACAAAUCAGGAUUUGAAUUACACAUUUAUUGUGAACAAUCAUUUGUUAGCCUAAAUGAGACCCUACACUGAUCGUAUCCAAUUACACAAAAGACUGCUGGUCAAAACACAUGCGCUGAAACCAACUCACCUACCUUAGCAGAAGUACUGGGAAUCUGACAGACCUGGGUUCCAAUCAUGCCUGCACCACUUACCUCCUGCCAAGGUAGGUGAUGCUUAUCCCUCAGACACUUGCUUUGCUCACCUGUAAAAGGGUCCAGGUGGCUUACUGCCCAGUUUCAUGCCUCCCUGGCCCCUACACCUCACCCUCUGUUCAAGCCAUAGUGAUUUUUCUCCUACUGACAGUUUAUUAAGGUACAAUUUGUUUAGAGUUUAUAAAGAAAUCAUAAGCAUAUGGUUUUUUAAACACUAAUAUUACUAUUCAUAAUAAUAGCUGACAUUUAAGCUCACCUUAUGGCCCAGGUACCCCAGGUGCAUUAUCUCCUGUAUUUCUGUCAAUUCCCUACGAUUUUACAGGUAAGAAAAGUGGUGAGAGAGGGGAUGUGAUUUGCCUUCCAAUGUCUACAGAGUGGCAAAUCUGGGACUCAAACCAAGUGUUCCUGACUCCAAGGUGUGGGAUGCUACCUCAGCUCCAUGGCACGGCCCCACCUGCAGUCUGGCUUGUGCCUAGUCACCCCUCAGGUCAUGGCAAAGACGGCACUUCUCCUAGGAAGCCUCCCUCCUCACCUAGGCUCAGUUCUCUGGUACUCUCCCAUCACUGUAUCUGUUAACUACCUGGUUUACUAAACUGAGUUAUAAACUCCACAAGAGCAGGGAUCAUCAUGUCUGCCAACCACAACUGUAACAAAUGUUUGUUGACUGAAUACAUGAGGGAAGCCUAAUUCAGAGGUGGCUGUGAGGAUUAAAUGAAAUCUAUGGGAAGCAGGAGUAAGCAGGAAGGCUAGCGAGCCCCUCACAGCUUAUAAGUACAGUGCUAGCUGUGUGAGACGAACAAGCAAAGGAAGAAGCUGACGCCCUAAUAAGUGCAAGGAGCUGUAGAGGUUACUUAGAAGACUUGGUCACUCUUCUAAAAAAGAAAAACCAAGGUAAAAAUGCACAAAAUAGCACAGAACAAGAAAAUAACCCCAGAAACCAAAGAUUUUCAGGACAGAAAUCGGAUGGGCUAAGUCUUAUCUAGAGCAGAGAGGGGUAUUGUGACUGGAGCCCAUGUUUCCUGCCCCCUAUCUAAGGCUCUUUCCAGAACACUACAGGCUUUGACAGGAAAUCUUGAGAGGAUCACAGGAGUUGCUACUUGACCCCACUGUCAGGAACCAGGUUGCAGACUGGCCUUAGGGAGGCUCAGGACAAGAGGCUGAGGCACAACUUUCCUCCAAGCCUCCCUAAUUCUGCCCCUUCACACUCCUACUGACCUGAAACCAGGUUGCUCUUGCAGAAAGCAAUUUCCCGGUGCAAACCUAAUCACCUUUUGAUACCAUUAAUCAGCCAUUUCCCCCCACCCAGGAUCUGACCAAGUCCCUGGAUUAAGCUGCAAAUGAAAUUUCCAGAUUUCAGCAAUUGUCGAAUCUUGAGAGAAGCAGCAACUCCAAGGUCUUCAUCCUGUUCUCCAUAUAGUGCCCAACUAUCCACUGCUCAGCUGUUCUAAAAUUCUUAAGCCUGAAUUUCUUACCAGGUAAAGUAUUCAUCCAACCUUGUUAUGAGACAUGGGAAUGGGUAUAGAGAGAUAUGGCAUAUAGAUAGCAACAUUCCAUUUCAACAGCUCAACCGAAAACUCUGAGAUGCUCUCAACCCACACUAAAGUGACUCAGACAAGCUUUGUUUCUUUCUGAAGCUAGAGCUGUUAAAAUGGACACAGUGCACCCCGCUGGGGACAAUGACCCAGUCAGCCAGGCUGCAGCUGUCUGGCCCACAGACUGGUCCUGUGAUGGCAUUUGUAAAAGGUCAGGGGUUUCUCUCAAUUCUCUGCUGGAUUUAGAAGCCACGUAUGGCUGAAAGUACAAAACCACAAUCUAUAAAGGGGCCAUUUAAUAUUUUAAAAGAUUAAAAGCUACAAUUAACCUUUUGCAAAAUAAUAAAGUCUGGAAGAACUACUACCGUGCUUUCAGUUACAGUGCCAAUCAGAAGUUCAAGGCCAAUGCUCUAUUGCUCAGCUUGAUACUGAGCUGACCAGAGAAAAGUGCCAGCCCUAUAGCCCGAGGAAGUGAUGAGAAUUCAGGCACUGUGUGCCUGGCUGACAGCAGUAACAAUGCAGCAUGUUUUCACCCUGCUGACAUGUGGCUGUGCUGGCAUUUCAGUCCACCUGUCAUUCAGAUCCCUGUAUCAUUGCUUCAUCAAGUGUAUCAGGGAAGGAGCAAAUCCUACACAAGAAUAGAGCCAGGGCCUGAGGCCCCUCCUGUUGAAAAUCAUCUCUGAAGCACAUAAAAAGUGUCUUCUGCAACCCAUUUGAACACCACUGAAAGAAGCAAUGGAAUGAAAACAGUGAGUCAACAACUAUGGCCUGGGCACCCACAAAAAAACACGCUCAUGCCCUAGAACCAUCUUGCUGGCAAACUCAUCUUUGGAGUACAGCAAACCUCUUCUUAACGGCUAAUUAUUGAACAAUAAUUACAAUAAGAAUCUUCGAUGUUUUUGCUACUUUUCUUACAGAGUUCAGAAGGUAUUUUCAGGAUGCUAAAAACUGUACUUAUAUAUAGGUAACCAGAAUUACAAUUCAGCCAUGCCAUAAGUUAAUGAAUUGAGUGAAAAACUGGCAAAAUGUUGACAAUUGUUGAAACUGGGUGUCAGGCACAUGGGGGGUUCAUUUUACUAUUGCCUCUACUUUUGUCUGUAUUUAAUAUUUUCAUCAAUAAAUAGUUUAAAAAUGAAAGUUCAAAAAAGUCAUUUUGGGACUACCUGACAUCCUUAACCAUAUUGUUCCUAUGGAAUUCAGGAAGCAC